rnacentral:rRNA from 1 species
UACGUAGGGUGCGAGCGUUGUCCGGAAUUAUUGGGCGUAAAGAGCUCGUAGGCGGCUCGUCGCGUCGACCGUGAAAACCCGCGGCUUAACUGCGGGCUUGCGGUUGAUACGGGCGGGCUAGAGUUCGGUAGGGGAGACUGGAAUUCCUGGUGUAGCGGUGAAAUGCGCAGAUAUCAGGAGGAACACCGGUGGCGAAGGCGGGAUCCUGGGCCAGUACUGACGCUGAGGAGCGAAAGCGUGGGGAGCAAACAGG